UACGUAGGGUGCAAGCGUUGUCCGGAAUUAUUGGGCGUAAAGAGCUCGUAGGCGGUUUGUCGCGUCGAAUGUGAAAACCCGGGGCUCAACCCCGGGCCUGCAUUCGAUACGGGCAGACUAGAGGUAGGUAGGGGAGAAUGGAAUUCCCGGUGUAGCGGUGAAAUGCGCAGAUAUCGGGAGGAACACCGGUGGCGAAGGCGGUUCUCUGGGCCUUACCUGACGCUGAGGAGCGAAAGCCGUGG
rnacentral:rRNA from 1 species